rnacentral:rRNA from 1 species
UACGUAGGUGGCAAGCGUUGUCCGGAUUUAUUGGGUUUAAAGGGUGCGUAGGCGGCUUUUUAAGUCAGGGGUGAAAGACGGUGGCUCAACCAUCGCAGUGCCUUUGAUACUGAAGAGCUUGAUUAAACUUGAGGUAGGCGGAAUGUGACAAGUAGCGGUGAAAUGCAUAGAUAUGUCACAGAACACCGAUUGCGAAGGCAGCUUACUAAGGUUUCAAUGACGCUGAGGCACGAAAGCGUGGGGAUCAAACAGG